rnacentral:rRNA from 1 species
GACGAACGCUGGCGGCGUGCUUAACACAUGCAAGUCGAACGCUGAUGGCCCAGCUUGCUGGGUUGGAUGAGUGGCGAACGGGUGAGUAACACGUGAGUAACCUGCCCCCUUCUUUGGGAUAACGGUCGGAAACGGCUGCUAAUACCGGGUAUUCACUGUCCUUCGCAUGGGGGGUGGUGGAAAGGUUUUUUCUGGUGGGGGAUGGGCUCGCGGCCUAUCAGCUUGUUGGUGGGGUGAUGGCUUACCAAGGCUUUGACGGGUAACCGGCCUGAGAGGGUGACCGGUCACAUUGGGACUGAGAUACGGCCCAGACUCCUACGGGAGGCAGCAGUGGGGAAUAUUGCACAAUGGGCGAAAGCCUGAUGCAGCGACGCCGCGUGAGGGAUGACGGCCUUCGGGUUGUAAACCUCUUUCGCUCAUGGUCAAGCCGCAGCUUUGGGUUGUGGUGAGGGUAGUGGGUAAAGAAGCACCGGCUAACUACGUGCCAGCAGCCGCGGUAAUACGUAGGGUGCGAGCGUUGUCCGGAAUUUUUGGGCGUAAAGGGGCUUGUAGGCGGUUUGUCUCGUCUGCCGUGAAAUCCUCUGGCUUAACUGGGGGCGUGCGGUGGGUACUGGGCAGCUGUGAGAUGCGGUAGGGGA